AUGGCAAAAUCAACCACGUCACGGCGAUGUUACUUAAAAAAUGAAAAAUAUAAACCCCUUGAUCGAUCACGGCAAGUGGUACAGGUUGGACGGCCUGAUCCCGGCGGUGACGUUGAAGUAUCUGAAGGCAGCCGCCCACCGGCGGUUGUCCUUGAUCAUGUGCACGGCGACGGUGUCCGGCCGGAAGUUGUCCAUGUUCCAGUUGAGGUCGUACAUCCGCGGCCUGAGGCUGUACCGGUUCUUGCCCCGGCGCCCGAUGUUGAGCCACUUGCCGAAGAGGAGGUCCUCGGGGCCGUGGGUGUCGUUGUGCCGGAGGAUCUCCUCGUUGGUGGACACCCAGGUCGCGACGUCCCACGAGACGACGUACCCCAUGCCGUGCAUGAACUGCAUGGGGUCGUCGCCGACGGCGAAGCCGUAGCCGAGGUACAGGUCGUCGCGGGGCCUGGGCCGGAGCUCCUCGGCCAUGGCGGCCACGCGCAGGUACGUGUCGUCGUCGGUCUUCAUCACGUAGUCGUAGGGCGCGCCCGCGAACACCCGCGGCACGGAGGAGAAGUACUGGUGGGUCUUGCCGUCGUUCAUGUUCUCGGUGCAGUUGAGCAGGAGGACGUCGCCGUGCCGCGCGGCCUCCAGCGCCACCAGCACCCGGUCCACCGGGUCGUCCACGCCGCAGAACACGAAGCGCACGUCCACCCGCGCGUACGCGGGCACCGGCGGCUGCAGCGCGUACGCCAGGCGCACGAUGUCCCGCCGCUCGCGCCGCUUGGGCGUGGUCAGCACCCCGACGAGCAGGCGGAACUCCGGCUGCGCCGCCGCAGCGGAGACGGCCUUCUCGGCCCCCGACGCGACGGAGUAGCCGUCGGCGCCGAGGCUGGGGCAGAGCACGCCGAGCCCGUCGGAGCGGGCGUGGGAGGAGCCGAGGCUGGGGAUGACGACCACCGCGGCGAGGAGGCCGAGGGGCACGAGGAGGAGGUACGGGGCGCAGAGCGACGAGGCGGCGGGGAAGAGCGCCUGCGACGACGAGCUGGUCUUCAUGGCGCGUCCCGCGGGAUGAAAAUGGAACUUGGAAACCCACGUCCACGUGCAAUUAUAAGCCAGCCAUGGACGCGACUAGCACGUACGCCUUCGAUCAACGUGGGAUUAAUAAGCCGCGUAAACUGUUGGUUGAAUCGUUCUCGUGGACACGCGGCCGUCGAGACUGCUCUUCAGGGUCGACAAGGGAUCCGUCCGCGCCUUCCAUCGGAUCUUCUUGUGCGUAUUAACAUUAACAUUUGUUAG
rnacentral:rRNA from 1 species